UAAUAUAGCACUUAAAGCUUGUCAUAAAGGCUAGAGAUAUGCUAUAAAAUGAAUCAAACGGCCUAGCUAUAGUGGAUUCCAUCUAGCUAGCCCAUACUUUUUUUUUUUACUGGGAAAAUGCAAGCAAAUUGAGCAAUAGUAACAGUUGAACUUACUUUUUCAAGAAAUAUCUGAAUUAAGAAGUGCGGCCAUGGAUGUUUUAUUGCCUUUAAUAUUCUCCUUGCAAAAGAUUGGCUGCU
rnacentral:lncRNA from 1 species